AUUCUGAAAUUUCAAUUUUGCCCAUUGUACUUUGGAAAACCACGGAAAUGCCCCCUUUAGAUAUAAUCCCUAAAGAAAUUUUGUUUUCUGAAAGUCAUUCAAACGCCGCACCCUCCACAAAUGUUGUUCCGUAUGGAAAUAUGAAUAUGGCUGGCGUGCUGUUGGUUUUCGACACCAGCUUCACGUUCUGGGACUUAUAGACAGCCAGCCCAAAGCUAGAUCUUUAGCGCUCUCCUAUGGCUGAUGAUAAUUGCCUGGUACAUUGAACACAACAACCACAGCAUCAUGGUGGUUUCAGCUGCCACAAUGAGAUAUCAUCUGAGAGACUCGGGGGUUCUUCAUCACUGUUCACAGUAAUGCAGAUUCAAUAUUAAUGUAAUUCAAUAACACCCAAGGACUUCAUGAAUCAAGCAGCCAAUGACUAUAUAUAAGUUACUAAACAGAGUGCAAUUGUGCAAGUGGUGGGUCAUCAGUUUAAAUCAAGGCAGCAUUCAUAUCAGGAUCAGCCAAUCCUAAAACGACGUCCAAACAUAAACAAGAAUGCAUAUCCCUUGCAGGAAGUACAGAUGCAAAAGGAAUGCAUGAAGUCACGGCUCAAAACUGAGCUCCUAACAUAUACCGCAAGUGUAUAUCGAAUCGUUCUAAUGCCACAAACACGGUAAGAAAUCUGAAAUUAACAAACCAGAUUAAAACCAGGACAAUUGUAGUCUUCAAAGAAAAAAGAAAGAAAACAGGAUAAAUGUGUAAUGCUCAGUCUGUGCCAGAGGAGACUCCACUUCCAUCACCCCCUUCUUCUUCUUCUUCUUGUCUUCAGCUGCAGCAUCCAUCAUAGACCGGUCUGUAACCUCACCAACGUGAAGAACUAGUCCAACAGAGUUAGGCUCCACGGCUGUUGAAGGUCUGUCCUCGGUCUCAGGCACAAUGCCAGCCUCAUCCUGAAGCAAGAUUGAAACAUAGCUGUCAAUUAGGCCUCUAAUACGAGGUACCGGAAUGUUACCGUGGGCAGUAGCCUGGCCGGGCCUCCAGCCCCGUGCCGGAGUGGGAAAAACCUCAGGUGGUGCUGGAGGCAUGGAGAAACUCAAAGGGCUUGUGCCUAAUCCCAUAUCCUCCAUUACCUUGAGCACCUGGAAUGGCAGAGUAAGGUAAUUCCACAUCUUGACGGACUCCAAGUGAUCGACCCGGGAUGCAGGGCUCACCUUUUCGAGUCCUUGAGAAGAGCAGAGUCAACUGGACUGGGGUUAAUCUGAUCGGCUGAAUCGCUUUUAUCGACAGCAAUUUUUUCUGCAAUAGCCU